GACGAACGCUGGCGGCGUGCCUAAUACAUGCAAGUAGAACGCUGAAGGAGGAGCUUGCUCUUCUGGAUGAGUUGCGAACGGGUGAGUAACGCGUAGGUAACCUGCCUGGUAGCGGGGGAUAACUAUUGGAAACGAUAGCUAAUACCGCAUAAGAGUAGAUGUUGCAUGACAUUUACUUAAAAGGUGCAAUUGCAUCACUACCAGAUGGACCUGCGUUGUAUUAGCUAGUUGGUGGGGUAACGGCUUACCAAGGCGACGAUACAUAGCCGACCUGAGAGGGGGAUCGGCCACACUGGGACUGAGACACGGCCCAGACUCCUACGGGAGGCAGCAGUAGGGAAUCUUCGGCAAUGGACGGAAGUCUGACCGAGCAACGCCGCGUGAGUGAAGAAGGGUUUCGGAUCGUAAAGCUCUGUUGUAAGAGAAGAACGAGUGUGAGAGUGGAAAGUUCACACUGUGACGGUAUCUUACCAGAAAGGGACGGCUAACUACAUG
rnacentral:rRNA from 1 species